GUGAACAAGCUGGAAAGCUUGGCGAUACAGGGUGAUAGCCCCGUAACCGACGCUUCAUCGAGCGUGAAAUCGAGUAGGGCGGGACACGUGAUAUCCUGUCUGAAUAUGGGGGGACCAUCCUCCAAGGCUAAAUACUCCUGACUGACCGAUAGUGAACCAGUACCGUGAGGGAAAGGCGAAAAGAACCCCUGUGAGGGGAGUGAAAUAGAACCUGAAACCGUGUACGUACAAGCAGUAGGAGCACCUUCGUGGUGUGACUGCGUACCUUUUGUAUAAUGGGUCAGCGACUUAUAUUCAGUGGCAAGGUUAACCGUAUAGGGGAGCCGUAGCGAAAGCGAGUCUUAACUGGGCGCUCAGUCUCUGGAUAUAGACCCGAAACCGGGUGAUCUAGCCAUGGGCAGGUUGAAGGUUGAGUAACAUCAACUGGAGGACCGAACCGACUAAUGUUGAAAAAUUAGCGGAUGACUUGUGGCUAGGGGUGAAAGGCCAAUCAAACUCGGAGAUAGCUGGUUCUCCCCGAAAGCUAUUUAGGUAGCGCCUCGGACGAAUACUACUGGGGGUAGAGCACUGUUAAGGCUAGGGGGUCAUCCCGACUUACCAACCCUUUGCAAACUCCGAAUACCAGUAAGUACUAUCCGGGAGACACACGGCGGGUGCUAACGUCCGUCGUGGAGAGGGAAACAACCCAGACCGCCAGCUAAGGUCCCAAAGUAUUGCUAAGUGGGAAACGAUGUGGGAAGGCUCAGACAGCUAGGAUGUUGGCUUAGAAGCAGCCAUCAUUUAAAGAAAGCGUAAUAGCUCACUAGUCGAGUCGGCCUGCGCGGAAGAUGUAACGGGGCUAAGCAAUACACCGAAGCUGCGGCAAUGUCUUUUAGACAUUGGGUAGGGGAGCGUUCUGUAAGCCGUUGAAGGUGAAUCGUAAGGUUUGCUGGAGGUAUCAGAAGUGCGAAUGCUGACAUGAGUAACGACAAAGGGGGUGAAAAACCUCCUCGCCGGAAGACCAAGGGUUCCUGUCCAACGUUAAUCGGGGCAGGGUGAGUCGACCCCUAAGGUGAGGCCGAAAGGCGUAAUCGAUGGGAAACGGGUUAAUAUUCCCGUACUUCUGACUAUUGCGAUGGGGGGACGGAGAAGGCUAGGUGGGCCAGGCGACGGUUGUCCUGGUUCAAGUGCGUAGGCUUGAGAGUUAGGUAAAUCCGGCUCUCUCUAAGGCUGAGACACGACGUCGAGCUACUACGGUAGUGAAGUCAUUGAUGCCAUGCUUCCAGGAAAAGCCUCUAAGCUUCAGAUAGUCAGGAAUCGUACCCCAAACCGACACAGGUGGUCGGGUAGAGAAUACCAAGGCGCUUGAGAGAACUCGGGUGAAGGAACUAGGCAAAAUGGUACCGUAACUUCGGGAGAAGGUACGCUCUUGAUGGUGAAGUCCCUCGCGGAUGGAGCUGACGAGAGUCGCAGAUACCAGGUGGCUGCAACUGUUUAUUAAAAACACAGCACUGUGCAAAAUCGCAAGAUGACGUAUACGGUGUGACGCCUGCCCGGUGCCGGAAGGUUAAUUGAUGGGGUUAGCGCAAGCGAAGCUCUUGAUCGAAGCCCCGGUAAACGGCGGCCGUAACUAUAACGGUCCUAAGGUAGCGAAAUUCCUUGUCGGGUAAGUUCCGACCUGCACGAAUGGCGUAAUGAUGGCCACGCUGUCUCCACCCGAGACUCAGUGAAAUUGAAAUCGCUGUGAAGAUGCAGUGUACCCGCGGCUAGACGGAAAGACCCCGUGAACCUUUACUACAGCUUGGCACUGAACAUUGAACCUACAUGUGUAGGAUAGGUGGGAGGCUAUGAAGACGUGACGCCAGUUGCGUUGGAGCCGUCCUUGAAAUACCACCCUUGUAUGUUUGAUGUUCUAACUUAGACCCAUUAUCUGGGUUGAGGACAGUGCCUGGUGGGUAGUUUGACUGGGGCGGUCUCCUCCCAAAGAGUAACGGAGGAGCACGAAGGUGGGCUAAUCACGGUUGGACAUCGUGAGGUUAGUGCAAUGGCAUAAGCCCGCUUAACUGCGAGAAUGACGGUUCGAGCAGGUGCGAAAGCAGGUCAUAGUGAUCCGGUGGUUCUGUAUGGAAGGGCCAUCGCUCAACGGAUAAAAGGUACUCCGGGGAUAACAGGCUGAUACCGCCCAAGAGUUCAUAUCGACGGCGGUGUUUGGCACCUCGAUGUCGGCUCAUCACAUCCUGGGGCUGAAGUCGGUCCCAAGGGUAUGGCUGUUCGCCAUUUAAAGUGGUACGCGAGCUGGGUUUAGAACGUCGUGAGACAGUUCGGUCCCUAUCUGCCGUGGGCGUUGGAAGAUUGAAGGGGGCUGCUCCUAGUACGAGAGGACCGGAGUGGACGAACCUCUGGUGUUCGGGUUGUGUCGCCAGACGCAUUGCCCGGUAGCUAAGUUCGGAAUUGAUAAGCGCUGAAAGCAUCUAAGCGCGAAGCGAGCCCUGAGAUGAGUCUUCCCUGACAGUUUAACUGUCCUAAAGGGUUGUUCGAGACUAGAACGUUGAUAGGCAGGGUGUGUAAGCGUUGUGAGGCGUUGAGCUAACCUGUACUAAUUGCCCGUGAGGCUUAACCAUACAACACCCAAGGGGUUUUGUA
rnacentral:rRNA from 1 species